CGAACGGGUGAGUAACGCGUGGGGAAUCUGCCUUUGAGCGGGGGACAACAUUUGGAAACGAAUGCUAAUACCGCAUAAAAACUUUAAAACACAAGUUUUAAGUUUGAAAGAUGCAAUUGCAUCACUCAAAGAUGAUCCCGCGUUGUAUUAGCCAGUUGGUGAGGUAAAGGCUCACCAAGGCGAUGAUACAUAGCCGACCUGAGAGGGUGAUCGGCCACAUUGGGACUGAGACACGGCCCAAACUCCUACGGGAGGCCAGCAUG
rnacentral:rRNA from 1 species